AGUGAACGCUGGCGGUAGGCCUAACACAUGCAAGUCGAACGGCAGCACAGUAAGAGCUUGCUCUUACGGGUGGCGAGUGGCGGACGGGUGAGGAAUACAUCGGAAUCUACUUUUUCGUGGGGGAUAACGUAGGGAAACUUACGCUAAUACCGCAUACGACCUACGGGUGAAAGCAGGGGAUCUUCGGACCUUGCGCGAAUGAAUGAGCCGAUGUCGGAUUAGCUAGUUGGCGGGGUAAAGGCCCACCAAGGCGACGAUCCGUAGCUGGUCUGAGAGGAUGAUCAGCCACACUGGAACUGAGACACGGUCCAGACUCCUACGGGAGGCAGCAGUGGGGAAUAUUGGACAAUGGGCGCAAGCCUGAUCCAGCCAUACCGCGUGGGUGAAGAAGGCCUUCGGGUUGUAAAGACCUUUUGUUGGGAAAGAAAAGCAGCAGGUUAAUACCCCGCUGUUCUGACGGUACCCAAAGAAUAAGCACCGGCUAACUUCGUG
rnacentral:rRNA from 1 species